rnacentral:rRNA from 1 species
CGCCAGACUCCUACGGGAGGCAGCAGUGGGGAAUAUUGCACAAUGGGGGAAACCCUGAUGCAGCGACGCCGCGUGAGCGAUGAAGUAUUUCGGUAUGUAAAGCUCUAUCAGCAGGGAAGAAAAUGACGGUACCUGACUAAGAAGCCCCGGCUAACUACGUGCCAGCAGCCGCGGUAAUACGUAGGGGGCAAGCGUUAUCCGGAUUUACUGGGUGUAAAGGGAGCGUAGACGGCUGUGCAAGCCAGAUGUGAAAGCCCGGGGCUCAACCCCGGGACUGCAUUUGGAACUGUGUGGCUGGAGUGUCGGAGAGGCAGGCGGAAUUCCUAGUGUAGCGGUGAAAUGCGUAGAUAUUAGGAGGAACACCAGUGGCGAAGGCGGCCUGCUGGACGAUGACUGACGUUGAGGCUCGAAAGCGUGGGGAGCAAACAGGAUUAGAUACCCCUGUACA